GAAAUGCGAUAAGUAAUGUGAAUUGCAGAAUUCAGUGAAUCAUCGAAUCUUUGAACGCACCUUGCGCUCCUUGGUAUUCCUUGGAGCAUGCCUGUUUGAGUAUCAUGAAAUCUUCAAAGUAAAUCUUUUGUUAACUCAAUUGGUUUCUACUUUGGUAUUGGAGGUCUUUGCAGCUUCACACCUGCUCCUCUUUGUUCAUUAGCUGGAUCUCAGUGUUAUGCUUGGUUCCACUCGGCGUGAUAAGUUAUCUAUCGCUGAGGACACUGUAAAAGGUGGCCAAGGUAAAUGCAGAUGAACCGCUUCUAAUAGUCCAUUGACUUGGACAAUACUUUUAUGAUCUGAUCUCAAAUCAGGUAGGACUACCCGCUAAAGUUAAGC
rnacentral:misc_RNA from 1 species